GAUGAACGCUGGCGGCGUGCCUAAUACAUGCCAGUCGAGCGAAGCGGGGUCGGGUGAGUAACACGUGGAUAACCUCCUAUAAGACUGGGAUAACUUCGGGAAACCGGAGCUAAACCGGAUACUUAUCGAUGGAUCCGCGCUGCAUUAGCUAGUUGGUAAGGUAACGGCUUACCAAGUCAACGAUGCAUAGCCGACCUGAGAGGGUGAAGAAGCACAGUGGAACUGAGACAAGGUACAGACUCCUACGGGAGGCAGCAGUAGGGAAUGUUCCGCAAUGGGCGAAAGCCUGACGAAGCAACGCCGGGUGAGUGAUGAAGGGCUUCGGAUCGUAAAUCUCUGUUAUUGGGGAAGCGGUACCUAAUCAGAAAGCCACGGCUAACUACGUGCCAGCAGCCGCGGUAAUAC
rnacentral:rRNA from 1 species